UCCUCUUUGUGACGACCUUCUGCUUCUUCUUCUAUCCUUAAGGCUUUACUCUCGAAAAGCACUGUCGUCACUGAUCACGACAUCACUGCUGUUACUCCUCUUCAUAAUCAUCAUCCUGUUCCUCAUCAGUUCCCAUAGGUGUCCGCCAUUGAAGGCUCAUCCUCCUCCGCAGCUGAGCCUUUUGGCAAUGAGAUUCAUGCUACUGUGGCAAGUGGAGUUCCAGCAACCUCGUUAUCAUCAGGAAGCGGUGGUAGUGAAGGAGAAUGGGCAGUUACUGUGGCAAAGGGGAAGAGAAGGGCGGUGGAGGAACCAGUGGACAAGGCCAGCCUUCAGAAGUAGAGACGCAUGACCAAGAAUUGUUAGUCUACUGCUAGGUCCAGGAACGCAAACAGAAGAAGGAGGUGCUUGAUGAGGGAAGAUGAAGAUGCUUGGGCAAAGAAAUACAUGCUUAUAAUAAAGGGAAAACUCUAGUUGUAAGCAAAGUUCCUUUGCCUGAUUACUGUGCAGAUCUUGAUAAGCGUCAUGGAUCAACACAAAAGGAGAGUGAUUCUUCAAAGGAUAAAUUUAAUGUUGCUCUAAAGAAAAGGCAGGAACAACAUAGCUUCCACAAUUCAUUCUGGAAGAGGAAAUAGGAUCUUUGCGCUGGGGCUGAUUGCAAACUAAUUUGUACUCAACCUUGUUUUUACUCAACCUUUUUGUAAUUUAUGUUAUUUGAUACUGGUUUUUUUGCCUAUUUCAUCAAGUUGUUUAACAAUAUUUGGAUCUUAUACAACAAUGUUAUUUGAUUUUUUCCU